rfam:Rhizobium sp. CF080 ctg11, whole genome shotgun sequence.
CACCAGGACCGGGCCCCUCUGACAGUUCAUCUUUGAGCUGUGAUGUCGGACUGGAUUA